GACGAACGCUGGCGGCGUGCUUAACACAUGCAAGUCGAACGGUAAGGCCCUUCGGGGUACACGAGUGGCGAACGGGUGAGUAACACGUGGGUGAUCUGCCCUGCACUUCGGGAUAAGCCUGGGAAACUGGGUCCAAUACCGGAUAGGACUCCGGACUGCAUGGUCUGGGGUGGAAAGCUUUUGCGGUGUGGGAUGGGCCCGCGGCCUAUCAGCUUGUUGGUGGGGUGAUGGCCUACCAAGGCGACGACGGGUAGCCGGCCUGAGAGGGUGACCUGCCACACUGGGACAGAGAAACGGCCCAGACUCCGACGGGAGGCAGCAGUGGGGAGUAUUGCACAAUGGGCGCAAGCCUGAUGCAGCGACGCCGCGUGGGGGAUGACGGCCUUCGGGUUGUAAACCUCUUUCAGCAUCGACGAAGCGAAAGUGACGGUAGGUGCAGAAGGAGGACCGGCCCACUACGUGCCAGCCGCCGCCGUAA
rnacentral:rRNA from 1 species